GAUGAAGAACGUAGUGAAAUGCGAUAAGUAAUGUGAAUUGCAGAUUUCAGUGAAUCAUCGAAUCUUUGAACGCACCUUGCGCUCCUUGGUAUUCCGAGGAGCAUGCCUGUUUGAGUGUCAUUAAAUUCUCAACUCUCCAACUGUUGUCAUGACUGGUGGUAGAGCUUGGACGUGAGGUUUCUGCCGGCUCCUUGUUGAGUCUGGCUCCCUUGAAAAUGAUUAGCGCAGCUUUGCACUGUCCGCUUCAGGUGUGAUAAUUUAUCUACGCCCGACUAGCGACGCGCAUGAAUGGCUUUGUGCUUCUAACCGUCUCGAAAGAGACAAUACCUUUUGAACUUGACCUCAAAUCAGGUAGGACUACCCGCUGAACUUAAGCAUAUCAAUAAGCGGAGGA
rnacentral:misc_RNA from 1 species